AUAAAAUUUUCAGAACUCCAAAAUCACUAUCCUAGUCUUCUCUCUCCUCUCUCCUCUCUCCUCUCGAAUUCUCUUUCCUCCAUAGCUCCGCCCAGAUGCUGUAUCUAUGUCUUUGUCUGUGUCUGUGUCUGUGUCUGUGUCUAAUUCAUCUUUCUCAUGUUUCUUACCUGAUUUUUGUUGGGUGAACAAAUUAUUCCGAUUUUGAUUGAUUUAUCUGUUAUUAAUUUCUGGAAUCAACUCAAGUAUAAUCAAUUUGAUGGAAAAGAAAAAGGAUGCGCCGGUUUUUGUGAAUUUAUGGGUGUUUUCGUGUUCGUCGGAACAAACCCCGAUCUACCACCGCCGCCUAAGCCCGUUCCUGCUUCCUACUUCUCCCCUCAUUCCUCGUUGCUCACUGCCUCACCAACCGGAAUCGACGCCCGGAGGCUACCAACGAUCUUUGAUUGCCAUUGUUAUACAGAAGUAUACAGAAAGGAAAAAGCAAAACCGGAAUAGCUGAUAGGAAGGGCUCUCCUGAAAUGCAAGUAUACUCGGUUAUACCAUUAGAGGGUUUCUCACCCAAUGAACUUCAGGUUGGCGAAAACAUAAAAUAUGUCAACUCAGUGAAGGCCGGUUUGGAACAAAAUAUGUCAACUCAAAAGAAACUCAAGAUAGUGCUCAUGUGGAAGAAUGCCAUUAAUAUACCGGGAUGAUAUUGUAAACUUUGCUUGGGAAUUGGUCAAUGAUUAUCUAUUACUAUGACUAUUUUUUGGUCAUGGGGUGCCUUGAUCGCGUGUUUGCUGGAAUGGUGAGUGGUACCUCUCAAUUGUUCCACGACUGGUAUGUCUCUAUCAACAAGCUCAAAUAGGUUUACUUUUGUAUGACUGUACGUCAGUACACACCUGAAAUGAUUAUUAAUGUUACUUACUUUGUACUACAUGUCAUUGUUUGUAUGUCGUAGCUUGAUGGUUUCUGCUUGUCGUUGUAUGCACUCAGGGAACUGGAGUUCUGCGCAGACAUUUUCAAAUGCCUGUAGAGUUCUUUUGCAUGAUAGAUUGCAUUUUCUAGAUCGUAUGCUAUAGUAUCGACAAAAGUAUUAUAGUUAGAAAAGUUGAUGGUCGUGUUAUGUUCCAUGAGGAUUUAGCACCUUAGUAAUGGAAACUCAGCGAGAAGCAACCGCAAUGACCACCACUACUUGCGGAUGGUCACAAGGGCCAUGGUGUCUCCGACUUGCAUCAAAGCCGAAACUUUUUGCCAUUUUGGCGCAAAAAGAACAAGGUACAUUUUGAUGAUGUUCAACAAGCUCGGUAUCUGCAGCACCCGAGGAAAACUAAAGAGCCUGGAUGAUAAUACGAGCAGGAAAGGCCUUGCUGAAAUUUACGAUGUCAUAUCACUUUCAGGAAUGCAUUGUUUAAGCUUGAGACAGUAAGGAAACUGGUUAAGCAUAUGAUGCAAUCGAAAAGUCUCAUACUUUCAAAGAAUUUAAUGAGAGCAGGCAGGAGCUCUUGUGCUCUUCCAGAAGAUGCACAAGCUUGAGAUAAAGCCGAAUGUGGGGACCUUUUUGGCUAUUUUAAAUGCUUGCAGGUAUCUCCCUCUCUUUCACUGAAUUUAUCUUUAUUUUUUAAAGUACAAGCAUGAAACUUUGAGGUGAAUGACUGAAGGGUGAGUUGCUUAUCAAAAGUUUAACUGACAAGACAACAUUAUGUAGUAUCUCUGCGUUGCUUGACAAGGGUAAUGAAUUAGGACCCUAUCACUGUAUAGUUGGGAGUUGGAGCUGCAAGACUUGCCAUUCAAAAAUCCCAACAGGGGAAAAAAUAUCCCGCAUAUAACUGGAGUGAUUGUGAAAAGGAAAAUAAACUGCAGUGGUUUCUUGUUGAUUUGAUUUGAUGAUUAUGAAUUUGAAUCUUCUGCAAUUGAUUAAUUAUAUUGCUUACUGACUUUUUUAUUUUUUAAUGCAGUGGUAUAAAUGGCUCCUAAAAAAUCAAAGUGUCCACUUUAGUAGUGGAGUUUGCUUGUUGAACCAGAUUUGUCAUCAUAUUGGUCGUUGGGGAUUGAUUAAUGCCCUUGUUGUUGAAUGAUGCUACGGUCUUUGAUGUUGUUUGAAUUAUUUGUGCCGAUAUUUUGACAGAGUUUUUGUGGCUGAUAGAUAUAUAUAUAUGUCUAUUUUUUUGGAUUUUUUGCCGUAUCCUUGCCGUAUCCUUGCCGUACCCGUUUAUUGAAAUUUUAAUUUUGCCGUUUCUGGUCCCCGUACCCGUCCAGGUAUUUGACCCCGUAGUCCCGUACCCGUUUCUGUGUUACAUAGGUCAUAUAUAUGGUCAAAUGGCUUUCUUAUAAGGUUAUGAUACCAAGAUAGAUUAAGAGUGUAUCGAUUUCACUAUGGCUCGUAGAAUGUUACAUCUUGUUUUUCAGCAGGGAUAUUUUUAAGAUUAUGCCUUAUUCUUAAUAAGCAAUAAGUUCCCUUUGUUCAUACCCCCGUAUUGUUUAAUCUUUUUGCUUCAUUUCAGGUAUAAGGUAUUUCUUUACUCUUGUGCGCUUAUCUUCAAUAACUCUCUAAUUACACUGACUCAGAGGUAAUCUGUGAAAAAUUCCUCCUUUACUCUUGGUGUUUUACGGUGGUUGGGACUGUUGUAGUUUUCAUGGGUAUAUGCUGAUGCUGGUAUUCUUUUCAGGUGCUUGAGAGUGUUUGUAUUAGGGUGUUGUGAGGCUGUGCCGUGGGUGCAUUCUGUCUGUAUUGGCUCUUGAGUCUUUAGUAUUUUUAAUUUUCUCUUUUCUACGUCUCUCUCUGCUUUUCCUCUGUUUUGUUUUCCACUCUGCAGGGUGAGGCAGCAAGUUUGACGCAGUCAAAAUAGCAAAGUAAGGGCAUCCUGUAUAUUUUACAAGAGGUUAACUGAACGAAUUAGGCAGCAUGGGCACUUGAACUCGAAGAUUCCCCACGCGACUCUAGAACGAGAAAUGCUCAACUUAAGUAUUGCAAUUGAGUUUAUGUAAAGGUGGAAGUACAUAUUUUUGAACAACUUGUAGCAAUAUCUUUUGUAAUAAGUCCAUGUUGAUAGGAAGAACCGAAGAAGCCAUUACUUGCUUGUCUUUUGUGAACUAAGUGUACAAUAACAUUAGAUUUUUAUAUAUUUUAUAUUUUAUAGUACAA